rnacentral:rRNA from 1 species
UACGAAGGGUGCAAGCGUUACUCGGAAUUACUGGGCAUAAAGCGUGCGUAGGUGGUUCGUUAAGUCUGAUGUGAAAGCCCUGGGCUCAACCUGGGAAUGGCAUUGGAAACUGGCGACCUAGAGUGCGGUAGAGGGUAGUGGAAUUCCCGGUGUAGCAGUGAAAUGCGUAGAGAUCCGGAGGAACACCAGAGGCGAAGGCGGCCUACUGGGCUGCACCUGACGCUGAGCCGCGAAAGCCAGGGGAGCGAACGGG